rnacentral:rRNA from 1 species
AUUGAACGCUGGCGGCAGGCCUAACACAUGCAAGUCGAACGAGUGGCGGACGGGUGAGUAAUGUCUGGGAAACUGCCUGAUGGAGGGGGAUAACUACUGGAAACGGUAGCUAAUACCGCAUACCAUCAGAUGUGCCCAGAUGGGAUUAGCUAGUAGGUGGGGUAAUGGCUCACCUAGGCGACGAUCCCUAGCUGGUCUGAGAGGAGGACCAGGCAAACUGGAAGUGAGAAAAGGUCCAAACGCCUACGGGGGGCAGCAGUGGGGAAGAUUGCACAAGUGGCGAAAGCCUGAUGCAGCCAGGCCGCGGGUGUGAAGGAGGCCUGCGGGUUGGAAAGCAAUUUCAGCGAGGAGGCGUUACUCGCAGAAGAAGCACCGGCUAAAUCCGUGGCAGCAGCCGCGGUAAUAC